rnacentral:tRNA from 1 species
AGUUAUUUAGCUUAUUAAGCACAUGUUUUGAAAACAUGAGAAAGAGAUUCAUAAUCUCUAAUAACUU